UACGGGGGGGGCAAGCGUUGUUCGGAAUUACUGGGCGUAAAGGGCUCGUAGGCGGCCAACUAAGUCAGACGUGAAAUCCCUCGGCUUAACCGGGGAACUGCCUCUGAUACUGGAUGGCUUGAGAUUGGGAGAGGGAUGCGGAAUUCCAGGUGUAGCGGUGAAAUGCGUAGAUAUCUGGAGGAACACCGGUGGCGAAGGCGGCAUCCUGGACCGACAUUGACGCUGAGGAGCGAAAGCCAGGGGAGCAAACGGG
rnacentral:rRNA from 1 species